UAGACCGAUAUCGAACAAGUAGAGUUAUCGAAAGAUGAAAAGCACUUUGAAAAAAGAGUUAUACAGCACGUGAAAUUGUUGAAAGGGAAGCGCUUGCAACAAGACUCGCUCGCGGGGUUCAGCCGGGCUUCGGCCCGGUGUACUUCCCCGCGGGCGGGCCAGCGUCGGUUUGGGCGGCCGGUCAAAGGCCUCCGGAAUGUAGCGCCCUUCGGGGCGCCUUAUAGCCGGGGGUGCAAUGCUUCCAGCCUGGACCGAGGAACGCGUUCGGCU
rnacentral:rRNA from 1 species